GAAGGACGGGGAUGUGUUUGAGAGAAGUGUGGAACAACAGCAUGACUUUGACAGAAUGAAUGGCAAUGCUAACAAAAUUCCUGAUCCUAAAGACAGUAGAUCAUCGAAAAGAAGUAAGAGACGCGCAGACCGAUUACUAUAUGUUCCUCAUCAUGCGAGAGGAGUGGUUUAUACCCAUCAGAGGCAGCAAUCAUUCAAUUGCAAAAGAUUCAAGGAAUACAGCAUUUUAAACUAAUACUUCUGAGAAAAUUGUUUAUAAAAGAUUGAAAUUUACUUCAAACACUCGCUUGCUUAAAUACAU